UCUAGAGGCUUCGGCAAUGGGGGCAACCCUGACCGAGCGACGCCGCGUGUGGGAUUGAAGGCCUUCGGGUCGUAAACCACUGUCAUUGGGGAAGAAUGCUCUGGUGGCGAACCAGAGAGGGACGGUACCCAAGGAGGAAGCCCCGGCUAACUCCGUGCCAGCAGCCGCGGUAAUACGGAGGGGGCAAGCGUUGUUCGGAUUUACUGGGCGUAAAGGGUGUGUAGGCGGCUGCGCAAGUCUGGUGUGAAAUCUUCACCGCUUAACGGGAAGAGGUCACUGGAAACUGCGUAGCUCGAGUAUGGUAGAGGCAAGCGGAAUUCCUGGUGUAGCGGUGGAAUGUGUAGAUAUCAGGAAGAACACCGGUGGCGAAGGCGGCUUGCUGGGCCAUUACUGACGCUGAGACACGAAAGCGUGGGGAGCAAACG
rnacentral:rRNA from 1 species